rnacentral:rRNA from 1 species
CCCAGACUCCUACGGGAGGCAGCAGUGGGGAAUAUUGCACAAUGGGGGAAACCCUGAUGCAGCGACGCCGCGUGAGCGAAGAAGUAUUUCGGUAUGUAAAGCUCUAUCAGCAGGGAAGAAAAAAAUGACGGUACCUGAGUAAGAAGCACCGGCUAAAUACGUGCCAGCAGCCGCGGUAAUACGUAUGGUGCAAGCGUUAUCCGGAUUUACUGGGUGUAAAGGGAGCGUAGGCGGCGCGUUAAGUCUGAUGUGAAAACCCGAGGCUCAACCACGGGAGUGCAUUGGAAACUGGCGGGCUGGAGUGCCGGAGAGGUAAGCGGAAUUCCUAGUGUAGCGGUGAAAUGCGUAGAUAUUAGGAGGAACACCAGUGGCGAAGGCGGCUUACUGGACGGCAACUGACGCUGAGGCUCGAAAGCGUGGGGAGCAAACAGGAUUAGAUACCCCAGUA